rnacentral:rRNA from 1 species
UACGUAGGGGGCAAGCGUUGUCCGGAGUUACUGGGCGUAAAGCGCACGCAGGCGGUCGCGUAAGAGUGCGGGGACAGUGGGCGGCUUAACUGCCCAAGGGUCGCACAGACUGCGUGACUGGAGGGCCAGAGAGGGACCUGGAAUUCCGGGUGGAGCGGUGAAAUGCGUAGAGAUCCGGAGGAACACCAGUGGCGAAGGCGGCUACCUGGACCAGCACUGACACUGAGGCACGAAAGCGUGGGGAGCAAACAGG